rnacentral:rRNA from 1 species
UACGUAGGGGGCAAGCGUUGUCCGGAAUCAUUGGGCGUAAAGAGCGCGUAGGCGGUCCGGUAAGUCCGCUCUGAAAGCCCGGGGCUCAACCCCGGGAGGCGGGCGGAUACUGUCGGGCUAGAGUCCGGAAGAGGCGAGUGGAAUUCCUGGUGUAGCGGUGAAAUGCGCAGAUAUCAGGAGGAACACCAGUGGCGAAGGCGGCCUGCUGGCUGACAACUGACGCUGAGGCGCGAAAGCAUGGGGAGCGAACGGG